rnacentral:rRNA from 1 species
GAUCCUGGCUCAGAUUGAACGCUGGCGGCAUGCCUUACACAUGCAAGUCGAACGGUAACGCGGGGCAACCUGGCGACGAGUGGCGAACGGGUGAGUAAUGCAUCGGAACGUGCCUGGUAGUGGGGGAUAACUGUUCGAAAGAACAGCUAAUACCGCAUACGACCUGAGGGUGAAAGGGGGGGAUCGCAAGACCUCUCGCUAUCAGAGCGGCCGAUGUCGGAUUAGCUAGUUGGUGGGGUAAAGGCCCACCAAGGCGACGAUCCGUAGCUGGUCUGAGAGGACGACCAGCCACACUGGGACUGAGACACGGACCCGACUCCUACGGGAGGCAGCAGUAAGGAAUAUUGGACAAUGGACGCAAGUCUGAUCCAGCCAUUCCGCGUGCAGGAUGAAGGCCCUCGGGUUGUAAACUGCUUUUGUACGGAACGAAAAGGUUUCUAUUAAUACUAGGAGCUCAUGACGGUACCGUAAGAAUAAGCACCGGCUAACUACGUG